rnacentral:rRNA from 1 species
AGCUUGCUCUCCUUGAGACCGGCGCACGGGUGCGUAACGCGUAUGCAACCUACCUCAAUCAGGGGGAUAGCCCGGAGAAAUCCGGAUUAACACCGCAUAAGAUCACCGCACGGCAUCGUGCGAUGAUCAAACAUUCAUGGGAUUGAGAUGGGCAUGCGUGUCAUUAGCUUGUUGGCGGGGUAACGGCCCACCAAGGCGACGAUGACUAGGGGAUCUGAGAGGAUGGCCCCCCACACUGGUACUGAGACACGGACCAGACUCCUACGGGAGGCAGCAGUAAGGAAUAUUGGUCAAUGGAGGCAACUCUGAACCAGCCAUGCCGCGUGCAGGAAGACUGCCCUAUGGGUUGUAAACUGCUUUUAUCCGGGAAUAAACCUCUCUACGUGUAGGGAGCUGAAUGUACCGGAGGAAUAAGGAUCGGCUAACUCCGUGCCAGCAGCCGCGGUAAUACGGAGGAUCCAAGCGUUAUCCGGAUUUAUUGGGUUUAAAGGGUGCGUAGGCGGCCUGUUAAGUCAGGGGUGAAAGACGGUGGCUCAACCAUCGCAGUGCCCUUGAUACUGAUGGGCUUGAAUGGACUAGAGGUGGGCGGAAUGAGACAAGUAGCGGUGAAAUGCAUAGAUAUGUCUCAGAACACCGAUUGCGAAGGCAGCUCACUAUGGUCCUAUUGACGCUGAGGCACGAAAGCGUGGGGAUCAAACAGGAUUAGAUACCCUGGUAGUCCACGCCCUAAACGAUGAACACUCGCUGUUGGCG